UGCCAGCCGCCGCGGUAAUACGGAGGGUGCGAGCGUUGAUCGGAAUUACUGGGCGUAAAGCGCACGCAGGCGGUUUGUUAAGCUAGAUGUGAAAGCCCCGGGCUCAACCUGGGAUGGUCAUUUAGAACUGGCAGACUAGAGUUUUGGAGAGGGGAGUGGAAUUCCAGGUGUAGCGGUGAAAUGCGUAGAUAUCUGGAGGAACAUCAGUGGCGAAGGCGGCCAACUGGACCAUUUCUGACGCUGAGGUGCGAAAGCUAGGGUAGCGAACGGGAUUAGAUA
rnacentral:rRNA from 1 species